CGGGCUGUUUAGGGCCCCGGGCUCCAGAGCAGAAACUGGCAAACUGAGAAUGCAUGUGGGCAUACUGAAGGAAAGGAGGAGAUUCACGCUGGGUGGGGAGAGGACACAAAGGUGCAUAGUUCUCUUGUUAGUCUGCAGCACUCUUGAAUGGAAGAACAUUUCCAGACUUCUGGGUGCCUGGAGAGGGCAGGACUAAAACUAGAGAACUUAAGGGUCAGUGGGAUCCCUCUCAGCUCUACACUAUGACAAGUUGAAAAUGCAAUGAUGAUUAAUACUUAGAAUGUCAGCAAAUUCAACCCAUCACCUCUCUGAAUACAUUCAUCUUCCUACCAGA